GUGCCCAGCUGGAUUGGUAGAGGAGACCAACCACACCCUCUGCAGCACAGCACCUGGAGAGGAACUGCUGCCAUGACCAUAGAGGACACCCUCUGGAUACAAUGCCAGACUUGAUGUGGGACUGACCAACCUAUGGACCCCAGGCACCACCACCCAGACCUGCUCAGCACCUGAAACUUUUCUAUCUCCUCUUCACUCUUGAUGUAGACAUAUCUUCAAGUCAUCUUCUCCAGGCGACACGAGCCUUAAGAGCAUCUUUGUACCCAUCAGGAACGAGUACACAUUGACAACACUGAGGCUGCUACCUCCCCUGUGGCUGGGAGCAAGAUGAGCCCCAGAUGUGUUUCCAAGUGAGUCUGAUUGGGACAGGAGCCGACGUGGGACUUGGAGGCUGGAGAUGGGAGCAGCAUUCACAGCCAUGGAGAGAGAACUGUUCACUGCUACCAUCCACACUUCCGGGCCCCUUCAGCAGCAGGGUGACAAGGAAGAGGGAAAUCGACUUGGAAAAGAGCAUCAAUUUUGCAGCAGCCAUGGCUUGUCCCAUGAGAGAUGAUUCUACCACAAGAACCCAACCACAAGGACGGCUCCUCUUUGAAGUUUUUACAGUCGAUCUCUGGAUCAGCCAGCGAAGUCCUGCUCCCAGGAUCCAGGGAGAGACCGUGGGUGCCCUCUAGGGCAUGGUACAAAGGGAGGAUUUGUUCCAGUAGAGAAUAGAAUAGGCCUUUUCUUUCACCUUUUGGUUUCCAGGUGCUGAACUACAUGUAGGAGUCUUGGUAGUAAAAUCAAGCUUAAUGGUUAUUGAAAUAGAACUACCAGAGAGGUUGUAGAAGCACAUGUUUUGUACAAGUUGGUUAACUGCCAGCAGCUUUGAAUCAUGUAACUGCUUACAAAAAAUUUCACAUGGUCCAGGAAUAAGAGGAAACAAAUGUAUGAAAAACAAAUUCUCAGAUACUUACAUUUAAAAUAAAAAGCAAACUAACAAUAAUUUGGAAAAUUUAUACUUUCAUAUACUACUUUUAUGUAGAAAAGAGAUUCAGGAAACUCCUAAAGCUGAUUGUUCAAAUGUCAUAUUUAUUGAUAUACCCGAGGCCCUUCUUUUUGUUAAAACUACCUACAUUGAUGAUAACAAUGGAAAAAAUAGAAUUUGCGUAAUAUCUUUCUAGGUACUUGUGAAGACAUCGUCUCUUUUGUUCAAAAAUGCUCUAUGGUAAAGAGAGGGAAAACUAUUAUCUAUCUCUAACUUCAAUGAAAAGAAACAAGGAUUCAGAACAGAAUGUAUCAGAACUGAACUGUGGGUUUGGAUAAUUACUUUCUGGCUGUGAUGUUGGGGUAAGUUAUCUCUUGGGGUAAAAGAAAAGUCUCUAAGCUUCAAAUUCCAUCAGCUGUUAAGUAAGAUAAUAUCCACUCCAUGGAGUUAUCAUAGGGAUUGGGGUUGUCCCUUGCCUUGCGUCGGAUAAUUUGACUGGUACACAGUUCCUUAUGAUGAUUUCAACUUUUCCUAACUGAGAAGAGUGACUCCCUGUGCCUAUACACAAUGUGGUUUUACACUGAACACCUGCUUUCCUUCUGGGAGUCUGAACUGGUUACAUGUUAGGCAGAGGGUGCUUAUGUGACCAGCUCCCCAUAAAAACCUUGGGCUUUUCUAAUGAGAACCUUGACUUAUCUAAUGGGCAUCCCUGGGCAGAAUCAGCAGAUGCUUGUUGCUGGAGAAAGAAGCAUGCUCUUGGGUGUCCCCUCGCAGGAGGGAGAAAGCAUGAGGAAGCCUGCACCUUGGUUUCUCAGGACUCCACCAUGGCUUUUUCUCUUACAGUCUGGCUGUAUAUCAUUACUAUGUUGCUGGAAGGAAUCUGAG
ensembl:lincRNA